AGAGAGAUUACCACACUCAUCUCUUAGGGCAGAAACCCAUAUUUGGCUUCCCGCUACCCACACUCAUUCCCGCUACAUUUUAGACCAGGCUCUCAAAUCACUCUCCUAAAAUCUUCACAAAACCUACGACACUCGUACAUCCCCUCAACGCCUAAUCUGCACCCUUAAGAUCCACAGAACACAUAAUCACCCAAUUCGGCUCUCUUCAUCAAUGCCAUACUCACAGAGCACUUCCUUACAAACCCACUUGAGAUCAAGGAAAACAAGGUGCUUUCCCUACACAAAUAUAGCACCAUUAUUGAUUUUCGUCAGUAAAGGGAGGACGUUGGUGUGGUUUUGGCAGCCAGUUAAAAGAGGCAACGCAAGCACCGAACAAAAAUCCAACAAGGAAUCGCCAAGGGGUUUUCAUGUAAGGUCUUAACUGAAGCAAUGUGCAUUUCUCAAGUGUUUACAUAUGGAAGAUCUAUGCCAUCUCACUUUUGCAAACACAAAUACAGGCAUAUUUGGAAGCUGUGAACUUGUCAAUGAAUGCUUUCUUCAUUCCUGAUUUUGCUUCAAAACACUACUUAAACUAUGGUGCUGUAGUGAGUGAGGCAAGUUUUUAUUCAAUGCUUUCUUCUUGUUCUUUCUGUGGUACUGCAGUGAGUGACUUGCAACUGUAGUACUUGUGUCUGUUUGGGUACUUUAUAUAUAUUUUUCUCUUUUUAAAUUUGCUUUUUGCUAUCUAGCUAAACAUUACCUUUUGCUUUUUGGUUUUGAAAUGACAAAAAGCGAAAAAGCAAGCUUGCAUGUUCAAACCAUCAUCAUGGUAUAUAUUAUUGAGGAUGAUUUGAUUAAAUCCACUACUAUUAACAAUUUUCAAAGCAAAUCUUUUUGCACUUGAUAUGAAACUCUGGUGAGACAUGCGGAAGUAGAGAUUCUGACAGGGCAAACAACAAUUUUGAGAUCAGAUAUUUUACAUGAUUGUGGACAAUCUCUUAACCCUACUGUGGAUCUCCCUUAGAUAUGGUGCGGGGCAGACAUACUACUAGUGUUUCCCAAACACCAUCUACUAAUAAGGACGAUGAGCCUUUGACACCUCUUUCAUAGCGGUCAGUCCAAGCUGACACACCUGUGGUUGGCCAAGAGCAUACACUUACAAAUGGCUAAGAGCCUUUACCUAAUCGUUCAUAGGGUUCUCACUUGAACCAGAAUCAGAGAUUGAUUCAGUAAGGAGAAUCUGCCUUAGAGUUUGAGAAGGAAACAAGUUUUCUCUCGGAUCCUCAGCAGCUCGAGUGAUCAUGAACUCCUUUAAGCAACAGAUACACCCUGCAAGUGUCAUGUGGAAGAGUGUCCCAAAAGAAAUCAAGGACUUUUACUAGGAGGAAUUCAAGAAAAAUACUACUAGACUACUGCUGAGGAACCAGGGGUAAAGGGUUGUUGGCAAUCAAAGGCUGUUGAACGAUACAAGGACAUGAUAUAUGAUUUCAAGGCGAAGAGAAAAAGGCCUAGUAUUUCAAUGAAGAAGCAUGGGCUUAAUUUGAGUAGCAUUGGGAGGACCUUUUUGUCAUUUGACGAUUUGAGACUAAUUCAAGAAACUGUCGUGGUGCUAUAAGUGGUCUAGGGCCGUUCACUCACACGGAUGAAUCUAUAUCAUUUCAAGAAUGGUCAGAUAGAAUAGAGAAAGAUUUGGGUCGAAAGCCCAAUUAUUAUGAGUUACUUGUUCAAACUCAUACUCGCGAUCAUGUCAAAGAAAGAUUUGUGUAUAAAAAGUCUAGGCAAAUAAACGAAGCAUUAGUGGCUAAAAGUGAAGAGCUCCAAUGAACUACACUUUACACUAUCAAUGAGAAUCAAAUUUAUUUGGAUGUUGUUGAGGCUAGCCAGAAGAGACGGAUGGUGCAUGGGCUUGGAUCAGAAUCAUCUAUCAUUUACCCUUCACGAGCAUCUUCUUCUAGGGGGUCCUCAUCACAUGAUCCUCAAUCUGCUAUUUUACAACAAGAAGUAGAAAUUUGAAGAAGCAAUUUGAAGAAGCAACUUGAAGAAGAGAGGCAAAGAGGCAAGCAGAGAAACAAGCUAUUAUGGGGCAACUUGAAGAAGAGAGGCAACAGAGGCAAGCAAAGAAGCAAGUUCUCACGAAGCAAUUUGAGAUGCGUUUGGAAAACAUGAGACAAUCAAUGUUUGGAGAAGAUAAUGAGAUUAGUCAGAGGCCUACCAACUCCUCUACCUCCAACGUCGCCUCCACCUCCACUUAAUAAGGAUUGAUGGUUUUGUAUUUUAACUUUAACUUAUUAAACUUUAAUAUUUUUAUAUUACGGGAGUUUAUAUUUAUUUUAUAACAUGUAUGGAGUAUUAUUAUUAAUAAUAUUAUUGGAUUAUUAUUAUUAUUA